UACGAAGGGUGCAAGCGUUACUCGGAAUUACUGGGCGUAAAGCGUGCGUAGGUGGUUUGUUAAGUCUGAUGUGAAAGCCCUGGGCUCAACCUGGGAAUUGCAUUGGAUACUGGCAGGCUAGAGUGCGGUAGAGGGUAGUGGAAUUCCCGGUGUAGCAGUGAAAUGCGUAGAUAUGCGGAGGAACACCGAUGGCGAAGGCAAUCCCCUGGACCUGUACUGACGCUCAUGCACGAAAGCGUGGGGAGCAAACGAGG
rnacentral:rRNA from 1 species